GUUCAGUUUGUCAAAAAUGAAUGGGUGUUUCUAUGAAACUGGUCCCUAAAAACAGGACAUGGGGCUAAAAAUUCAAACCAGAUGUAGACUCAUGUUAUGAAGCAAGAUUGGAAACACUUUGAGUCUAUUU